GAUGAACGCUGGCGGCGUGCCUAAUACAUGCAAGUCGAGCGAACGGACGAGAAGCUUGCUUCUCUGAUGUUAGCGGCGGACGGGUGAGUAAUACGUGGAUAACCUACCUAUAAGACUGGGAUAACUUCGGGAAACCGGAGCUAAUACCGGAUAAUAUUUUGAACCGCAUGGUUCAAAAGUGAAAGACGGUCUUGCUGUCACUUAUAGAUGGAUCCGCGCUGCAUUAGCUAGUUGGUAAGGUAACGGCUUACCAAGGCAACGAUGCAUAGCCGACCUGAGAGGGUGAUCGGCCACACUGGAACUGAGACACGGUCCAGACUCCUACGGGAGGCAGCAGUAGGGAAUCUUCCGCAAUGGGCGAAAGCCUGACGGAGCAACGCCGCGUGAGUGAUGAAGGUCUUCGGAUCGUAAAACUCUGUUAUUAGGGAAGAACAUAUGUGUAAGUAACUGUGCACAUCUUGACGGUACCUAAUCAGAAAGCCACGGCUAACUACGUGCCAGCAGCCGCGGUAAUACGUAGGUGGCAAGCGUUAUCCGGAAUUAUUGGGCGUAAAGCGCGCGUAGGCGGUUUUUUAAGUCUGAUGUGAAAGCCCACGGCUCAACCGUGGAGGGUCAUUGGGAACUGGAAAACUUGAGUGCAGAAGAGGAAAGUGGAAUUCCAUGUGUAGCGGUGAAAUGCGCAGAGAUAUGGAGGAACACCAGUGGCGAAGGCGACUUUCUGGUCUGUAACUGACGCUGAUGUGCGAAAGCGUGGGGAUCAAACAGGAUUAGAUACCCUGGUAGUCCACGCCGUAAACGAUGAGUGCUAAGUGUUAGGGGGUUUCCGCCCCUUAGUGCUGCAGCUAACGCAUUAAGCACUCCGCCUGGGGAGUACGACCGCAAGGUUGAAACUCAAAGGAAUUGACGGGGACCCGCACAAGCGGUGGAGCAUGUGGUUUAAUUCGAAGCAACGCGAAGAACCUUACCAAAUCUUGACAUCCUUUGACAACUCUAGAGAUAGAGCCUUCCCCUUCGGGGGACAAAGUGACAGGUGGCGCAUGGUUGUCGUCAGCUCGUGUCGUGAGAUGUUGGGUUAAGUCCCGCAACGAGCGCAACCCUUAAGCUUAGUUGCCAUCAUUAAGUUGGGCACUCUAAGUUGACUGCCGGUGACAAACCGGAGGAAGGUGGGGAUGACGUCAAAUCAUCAUGCCCCUUAUGAUUUGGGCUACACACGUGCUACAAUGGACAAUACAAAGGGCAGCGAAACCGCGAGGUCAAGCAAAUCCCAUAAAGUUGUUCUCAGUUCGGAUUGUAGUCUGCAACUCGACUACAUGAAGCUGGAAUCGCUAGUAAUCGUAGAUCAGCAUGCUACGGUGAAUACGUUCCCGGGUCU
rnacentral:rRNA from 1 species